GUAGUGAUAGUAGGCAAUGUAUUGUGCUAUUGAACUCAUGGUAUGAACGUGUUUCGGAGAAUUGAGUAAUUGACAAUGAAAAGUUGGCAGAAGUUAAAAGUGAAUGGAUGGGCAGAAGAGGGAAAAGGGGGAGAGCCUGCAUUAUCAUGGAAAGAGAAUGUUAAUGAAAGAUCUGUAAGACAUAGAAUAUGUGAGGGUGAUGGCUCAAAACAAACUAGAAGCUCAGAUACGCAUUUUCAUGCACAUUGUGGGCAGGGGUGGAAAGAAUAGGCGAGCACGCGAGCACUGCUUGCAGGAAAUGAUAAACAGCUGCAGGUAAUUCGUUUCAAUGAAGAUUUGCUAUUGAAAAUUUGAGAGGAAACCCUAACACCCAUGUCCCAAUAUGGGCACAACAACAUAUGGUUGACAGACACAUUAUGCACAUGCAGAUUUAGCACAAAAAUACUCCGUUGGUCUGCAGGAAAUUUUUGUCUCCAGGUUGUGCUCCCAGGAAGAAAAUUCUUUUCCCCUGAUUUUGGGAAACUACGUAUGCUCGACAGCAAUGUUGUUGAUAAGAUCAUUUGCAUUUCCCUCCAUUGUCUCUAUUUUAACCAAAUCACAUAAAGAAACUAUGGUUUUCAUUUGCUGGUUCAUUCAAGCAUUGCUUGCAACAUCCGCAGACGUCGAGAUUUUUUCCUCACGAGGUGAAAAAAUAUCAAACACGAUGUCACGAUAGAUAUCUUCCUCAAGAGGUUAAAUCCUCACAAAAACUGUCUGCACACAAGAGAAACGUGCCGAGUUAGCCACGACGCAAGGUGAGUCACCUCAGCAAGCUUCUCUCAUGUGCGUCAGAGUAACAUUUUCCUAAUGUUUAAAAUUUUCAUAGUAUCCAGUUCACCAGUUGGGAUAUAAGUCAUUCACAGUUUGGUAUCCAAAACCAAAUUUUAGUAUUAGUUAUACUAUUAGUAUAUAGUAUAGUAAAACACUUGUACACUCUCAUCAACUAUGAGUGGGUUAAAAGUUUGAAUCAACAAGAGUUUUGCCCGUUUGACAUCUGAUAAUAUAUAACCAACUCUCAAGCCAAGGCACAAGAAAUUUGAUGAAGGAUGCAAGCAAACUCUUAUCAGUCUUAUAAACUUUCAUUUGACCAGAACUUAAAACUUUCAUGAUACAACCUUCCUGGAAAGUACACCGCUUUGGCUAUAGAGCCUCAUUUUCAUGUACAUAACAGCAUGUCAAUCACAAAAACGAGGCUCUAUGGCCAAGACGAGACACUUUCCGGAAGCAUGUAUUUAAUAAUAAUUCCUUUAGUUUCACCAUUAUGCACUUCAUUUCUUUAAAGUUCAUUAUUUGUUUACAAAACAACACUUGUUUACAAAACAACACUUGUUUACAAUUACAAAGGACUGUGCAGUAUAAAACACUACACAAUAACUUGGCUACAAUCAUGAUGCUGGGCAGUCAAUAAAAUGUUUUGCAGUCAAUGUUUAACAUUGUUUAGUAUCUUUUUUUAUGAAUAGUUGAGAUUUCUGUGCACUUUGUCUUUGAUCAUAAAAUUUCAGCCAUAUUGUCAUUCCUCUUCUAUCGCUGUUUCUGCUAGUAAAUAUUUAUACAACGGCAGGCCUUCGUGUGUCUUCAACAUGUCCUUAUAUCUGCUUUCAGCGCUGGACUCGAAGAGAUGUGCUUGGUAGCCGAUCAAUACACCAAUCCCAAUAGCGGCUGCAUGAAAACUUGGCUUCUUUAAAGCUGGAAUUCUGCGCACUGCAUUUGCAAAACAGGACGUGAAAAACCCACCAGCACCGAACCACACGAUAGUACGAAGCAUCUUCGUUGGAAACGAGCGAAAAAAUCAGCUAAAUUUUAUACAAAAUCAAUAAUAUUUUCUGUGCAUUCACUUUUUAACUGAUUUUUAUGAAACCAAUAUGGCGG
rnacentral:lncRNA from 1 species